GACGAACGCUGGCGGCGUGCUUAACACAUGCAAGUCGAACGAAGAGCGAUGGAAGCUUGCUUCUAUCAAUCUUAGUGGCGAACGGGUGAGUAACGCGUAAUCAACCUGCCCUUCAGAGGGGGACAACAGUUGGAAACGACUGCUAAUACCGCAUACGAUCUAAUCUCGGCAUCGAGGAUAGAUGAAAGGUGGCCUCUACAUGUAAGCUAUCACUGAAGGAGGGGAUUGCGUCUGAUUAGCUAGUUGGAGGGGUAACGGCCCACCAAGGCGAUGAUCAGUAGCCGGUCUGAGAGGAUGAACGGCCACAUUGGGACUGAGACACGGCCCAGACUCCUACGGGAGGCAGCAGUGGGGAAUCUUCCGCAAUGGACGAAAGUCUGACGGAGCAACGCCGCGUGAGUGAUGACGGCCUUCGGGUUGUAAAGCUCUGUUAAUCGGGACGGAAGGCCUUCUUGCGAAUAGUGAGAAGGAUUGACGGUACCGGAAUAGAAAGCCACGGCUAACUACGUG
rnacentral:rRNA from 1 species